AAGGAGAGGCAGGACCAGGAUAGGGAGACCAGAGUUCACUGCUAAGCUGGUAUUGACUGUUAACAGUCAGAAUGGCAGUUAAGCUAACGGUCUCCCAGCUCGCCACUAGGCCAGAGUCUAUGGAACCAGCAGGCAAGGUUUUUCUCAGCAUCCCUCUUCUCUUUCCCUAUAAUCCCAGUCCAAGAAGAAACUGGUGGAACUCUCAUGGCUACUGGAGUCAGCCUUAGAACACCCUUCUGCUGCUGCUUCCUAUUGGUCUAGUUAACCCAGUGGUGACUAGAAUUGUUUCACAUGUGUUUGUUUUUUAGUUGUUAUUCAGAAAUUAAUUUUCUGGUCAGUGAUUGCCAUUGAAUAAUAAACUUAUAACUGGAAGGAACCUUA